UACGGAGGGUGCGAGCGUUGUCCGGAAUCAUUGGCCGUAAAGGGCGCGUAGGUGGCUCGCCAAGCGGGCGGUGAAAGCCUGGGGCUCAACCCCGGGUCGGCCGUGCGAACUGGCGAGCUGGAGCACUGUAGAGGCAGGCGGAAUUCCGGGUGUAGCGGUGGAAUGCGUAGAGAUCCGGAAGAACACCGGUGGCGAAGGCGGCCUGCUGGGCAGUGGCUGACACUGAGGCGCGACAGCGUGGGGAGCAAACAGG
rnacentral:rRNA from 1 species